GCAGCGGUAGUUCAGUUGGUUAGAAUACCGGCCUGUCACGCCGGGGGUCGCGGGUUCGAGCCCCGUCCGCU
rnacentral:tRNA from 1 species